rnacentral:rRNA from 1 species
GACCUCGGAUCAGGUAGGAAUACCCGCUGAACUUAAGCAUAUCAAUAAGCGGAGGAAAGAAACCAACAGGGAUUGCCCUAGUAACGGCGAGUGAAGCGGCAACAGCUCAAAUUUGAAAUCUGGCUCUCGGGCCCGAGUUGUAAUUUGUAGAGGAUACUUUUGAUGCGGUGCCUUCCGAGUUCCCUGGAACGGGACGCCAUAUAGGGUGAGAGCCCCGUCUGGUUGGAUGCCAAAUCUCUGUAAAGUUCCUUCGACGAGUCGAGUAGUUUGGGAAUGCUGCUCUAAAUGGAGGUAUAUGUCUUCUAAAGCUAAAUACCGGCCAGAGACCGAUAGCGCACAAGUAGAGUGAUCGAAAGAUGAAAGC